rnacentral:lncRNA from 1 species
GAUACUUUUCAAAAUUAUAAAAUAAAAUUAAGGAUCUUUACUGAGUAAUUGAUGUAGAUUAUUUUAUUUUUUAAGAAAAAAUAAUUUACAUUUACUUAUAUUCUAACUAUAUUUAAUAUUUAUUUUUUAUUCAUUUGAUACAUCAUUUAAUUUAUUUAUUUUUGAUAAAUUAACAUGAUUAAAUAAAGAAAUUUAAAGGCUGCGCCACAUGAGGCUCGAACCCAAGACCUUCGGUUUUAGACAUUAACCCCUAAUCGCUUCACCGAUGCACACACUACAUCGUUUAAUUUUAAUGCAAAACUAUGUUCGCCGUGCAUCGCACGGGCGAAUGUACUAGU